GAUGAACGCUGGCGGCGUGCUUAACACAUGCAAGUCGAACGGAAAGGCCCAAGCUUGCUUGGGUACUCGAGUGGCGAACGGGUGAGUAACACGUGGGUGAUCUGCCCUGCACUUCGGGAUAAGCCUGGGAAACUGGGUCUAAUACCGGAUAGGACCACUUCUUGGAUGUUGUGGUGGAAAGUUUUUUCGGUGUGGGAUGAGCUCGCGGCCUAUCAGCUUGUUGGUGGGGUAAUGGCCUACCAAGGCGUCGACGGGUAGCCGGCCUGAGAGGGUGUACGGCCACAUUGGGACUGAGAUACGGCCCAGACUCCUACGGGAGGCAGCAGUGGGGAAUAUUGCACAAUGGGCGCAAGCCUGAUGCAGCGACGCCGCGUGGGGGAUGACGGCCUUCGGGUUGUAAACUCCUUUCGCUAGGGACGAAGCGUUUUGUGACGGUACCUGGAGAAGAAGCACCGGCUAACUACGUA
rnacentral:rRNA from 1 species